GAAAAGGUUACAUCUGUCCACACAGAAAAUUGCUUCUCAACAAACCUGUCGUUGGAAAGUACCUGAACUACAUUUCAGUCACUCAGUAAAGUGAUAACUCAAAACAUCAUUGUCAACAGAUCUGAAGAAAUUACCACUGCGUCUUUAGAUCAUUUUCGUCAGACGAGAGACGCAGUUCUGACUCUGAUUACUGGUUGCUGUACGUAUCUAUCCACAUCAAGGCUGUUGAGAGAGACUCGUGAAGAGUCAAGACAGAUCUUAGAGGAUUUGCAGUUUAAAAGUGAAAUAAGUGUGUGAGUGAUUAAACUGUGUUUUGUUGAAGUUGU